CCUACAGACAUGAAAACAUUGAGGGGUUAGGACCAAGGGCUAGACAGAUAGUGAUCUGUAACCAGCUGAGCGUUAAUGAGGAAUAAGCUCUGUGAAUGAACAAGGCAACAGACGAGCUAGUUGGGGAAAGAACAUCUCUCUGUCUCGAGGUAGACAGUAGAGUAAAGCCUUAUCUACUGAGUCCCAAGGUAUUCAGCUCUAUGUCUCGAGGUAGACAGUAGAGUAAAGCCUUAUCUACUGAGUCUCUAUGUCUCGAGGUAGACAGUAGAGUAAAGCCUUAUCUACUGAGUCCCAAGGUAUUCAGCUCUAUGUCUCGAGGUAGACAGUAGAGUAAAGCCUUAUCUACUGAGUCCCAAGGUAUUCAGCUCUAUGUCUCGAGGUAGACAGUAGAGUAAAGCAUUAUCUACUGAGUCCCAAGGUAUUCAGCUCUAUGUCUCGAGGU